rnacentral:rRNA from 1 species
UACGUAGGUGGCGAGCGUUAUCCGGAAUUAUUGGGCGUAAAGAGCGCGCAGGUGGUUGAUUAAGUCUGAUGUGAAAGCCCACGGCUUAACCGUGGAGAGUCAUUGGAAACUGGUCGACUUGAGUGCAGAAGAGGGAAGUGGAAUUCCAUGUGUAGCGGUGAAAUGCGUAGAGAUAUGGAGGAACACCAGUGGCGAAGGCGGCUUCCUGGUCUGUAACUGACACUGAGGCGCGAAAGCGUGGGGAGCAAACCGGAUUAGAUA